rnacentral:lncRNA from 1 species
AGGCUGCUCAAGAGAACCAAAGACGCGUUGCUUUUCUGUCCACUAGGGGGCUACUUGUAGAAGACUGGGGAAAACAGCUUAAAAAAAUAUGCUGCUGAAAUUUCAGUAAGAGGGGAAAAGAGAGAGCUUGUGAGAGACAGCAGAGCGGUCCCAGACUUCCUCAUCUCGUUCACGUCAGAGGCAGGAACGGACUGUGCUAAGGCUGUUGGCUCAACACGCAGAGACAGAGCCGAACAGCCUCAGAGACAGGGAAAGAAGAAGACCUCCCUAACCCAAGAAAUUACCACGAGUGGAGUAAAGCCAUCUGACUUUUUGGUCUUAUUUUGGUUGCCUCUUCUCUCCUUCUACUGGUAGACCUACCUACCAGCUGCCGUUUCGUUUCUUUCGUGAAGCCUUCUCUCUGCCUCUCAGUAAAAAGAGGAAGGGAAGAGAGGGAGAGAGGUGGGCGCUCUAGGUGAGCGCAUCAGCUGGCUCCAGCUCGAACAGACAAGAAUUCUCUGCCUAGGAAGCUGCUCUCGCUCUCCGGCUACCCACCCCCCAACCUGGGUGCCUGCAUUCAUUGCUCAGAGGUCGGAUCUCAUCUGGAGUUAGACUCACAGAGCACGUGGUCAAGAGAAAUCAUCAGAGAGGACGACAUCACGAG